rnacentral:rRNA from 1 species
AGUGAACGCUGGCGGUAGGCCUAACACAUGCGAGUCGAACGGCAGCACAGUAAGAGCUUGCUCUUACGGGUGGCGAGUGGCGGACGGGUGAGGAAUACAUCGGAAUCUACUUUUUCGUGGGGGAUAACGUAGGGAAACUUACGCUAAUACCGCAAACGACCUACGGGUGAAAGCAGGGGAUCUUCGGACCUUGCGCGAUUGAAUGAGCCGAUGUCGGAUUAGCUAGUUGGCGGGGUAAAGGCCCACCAAGGCGACGAUCCGUAGCUGGUCUGAGAGGAUGAUCCGCCACACUGGAACUGAGACACGGUCCAGACUCCUACGGGAGGCAGCAGUGGGGAAUAUUGGACAAUGGGCGCAAGCCUGAUCCAGCCAUACCGCGUGGGUGAAGAAGGCCUUCGGGUUGUAAAGCCCUUUUGUUGGGAAAGAAAAGCAGCAGGUUAAUACCCCGCUGUUCUGACGGUACCCAAAGAAUAAGCACCGGCUAACUUCGUG